rnacentral:lncRNA from 1 species
GAUAUACUACUCUAGAUCCAUGCUUUAUGGUAUGCCCUUUUCAAUUGUCACCUAUCACCUAUGAUAUAUAUAUAUAUAUAUAUAUAUAUAUAUAUUAGUUCAGUUAAAUAUAGUUUUUGAGAAACAAAAGUUUCUUGCUUUAUAUUUAUAGUUCAUAAACCGAUCUGGAUCUUGAGAAAAUUUCUGCAUAACCUAAAUAGUAGUUUGGAACAUCACAAAACAUGUAUUUACAUCCUGACUGUGUCAGAGGAGCUAGAAUUUCUUGAACUUGUUUAUGUUGACGUCCUUUUCUGAGCUGACUUUGAGCAGACCCACGGUUUCGUCUUGAUUAAUUAAACUAAUAUGCACAUGAAACUAAGGGAGAAUAUAGUUAUAGGAAAUCAUAAAAAUAAGAAAUAAAUAAAAUACACAACUGCUUUGGGCUCCAUGCAUUCGGAGCUUCCUUCCAGACAUUUGAUGCUAUCUCAUCCCCAUUCGGUAUCCAAUGUUUAAUUUUCUCGAUCUCUUUCAAAUACUGAAUGCACACGUAUAUAGAUAAACAAAUACGCAAAACCCAAUGUGUUAGUUCUACCGAUCAAAACCCUAAAUUUCCGGAGGGAGAAACAGGAAUUAUUUUAAGGGGAGGAUGGAACUGAGGUAGAUGACGAAGAGGACGAGGUUAUCACAUACAUAUAUAUGUAUAUGUCUCAUAACAUCCUUAACCUUUACACAUUAUUCCUUCACAUAUCUGAUAUGUUAUAUUGUUAAAUUAGUUGAGAAAAUAUUUAUUAAAAUUAUGGAACUCUAUAAUAAGAUUUUAAUACACGUAGAUUUUAUUACUGAAGGCACGUUUAUGGAGCAAGUGAUGGAUUGGUCUUCUGUUUUAAUCUAUUACAUCCUGAUUAAACUCUUCUUCCUCUGUUUAGUUUAAUUUAGAAUAAGAAUAUCGUUUCUAUUCAAACAAACAAACAAAAAAAAACCACGUUUAUGGUACCAUAUCAACAUCUUAUCAACAAAAAAGAUUAACACAAUCAUCUAUGCAUAGACGUUAUCGAUGGAUGUACCAUUAUUUUGAUAUUAUAUAUCCAUGUUGUAUACAGAAACAAAAUAAAAAAUCUGCCUUGGAGCAACAGUAAACAUUGACGCCUCGAAUAUGAUCUCCAACCUAUACCCUAUAAUCACAAACUAAUAACUAAUUAAGUUUUGACAAGUCACCAAGCAUGUAGGUUUCUAUGAAUGUGUUCACAACUGUGAAAAAACACAGUAACCACAAAACAUGAAUUAAAUAGUUGUUUACUUUUACUUCCAAUUAAACAAAUUAAUCCAACAUUAAGAUGUGUGUUAUUUGCUAAUUCCCAUUCUUCCGAACCAAAAAGGUAGACAAUUAAUAUGUGUAUUUGCUUACUACCCAUGGCAAAACAUCUCAUCGAAGACAACCCUCCCUUCUUUGGGAGUAGCCAGCAACACAUGGGGUUGUCUCUAGAAAAGAGAAAAUAUUUAAGUUAUUUUUUAUGGCUAAGUAAUACACAUGCAGUACACUUCAUUAGGUCUAUAUUUACAAAAUAUAAAACCUAUAACCUUUUAUAAAAUUACAGAGAAUUGUUAGAUAUCGAAAAAUUAUAGUUAGAGUGAAAUUAAAAGGUUCAGAUUGUAGAGCAAAACUAAUAACUUUUGAAGUUCAGAUUCAGGGCUUUUUUUGAUGAAAAAAAACUUAGGGUAUUUAAAUUUUAUUCCCCACCUGACCCACUUGUGUUCCUCCAGAUCGAUUUAAAUUAAACGUGGAAGAGGGCCAGAGGACCACAGAGAUAGUUAUCUAUAUAUUUCUAUAAAAAUAGUUUUUGGUCGGAAUUAUUGUCUAGAGAUUUGUGGUUUCAAUUGUUUUUGUUUUGUUAAUUCUUGAUGCCAAUUAAAAAUGGAGCUGUGGAGUUGGCUGCAAGCUGUCGGUGUAAGAAUCCGAAUAAUGCGAGGUGCGAGGGAAUUUUUCUGUAUACUCUAUUGGCUCUAUUACACAAUUUUAAACAAACUACCUCUCCCUUUAGCAAAAUAUCACAUUAUAUAUACAAACCAUAUUAUAUGGGGACCCAAAAUAUACAUGUUGAUAUAUAUAUAUGGGUGUGAUUAAGCAUUGUUCAAUUCCAUGAACGGUUCGUAUUGAUAACUUCUAAAAGAAAAAGAAAAUGGUAUAGAGAUGUUUCCCAAAAUACGAAAUGUAGAACCCACAGGGGAGAAAUUGCUGUGGAGGAUGAGUUAAGCUACACCAGGUGGUGUAGGCGUAUAACAGAUUGGUCUUGUCUUUCAAUAAUUGGGGAAAACGAGAAAAAAAAAAAAAAAUCCUUUUGGGGCUUUUAGAUUUUAGGGCUUCAAGAAGAUUGUUUUUAGAUUUUAAUCUGAAUGGUUUUCAAAUUCUAAUAUAAGUCCCUAUUUUAAAAAUUUAUCAUAUUUAAGUAAUUAUAGCACAUUUAUUAUUUAUAAACUUACCAUUCGAAAUUCUUUACCCAUCCAUAAAUUUUUUUUUCGUGCUCCAGUCAUAUUAAUAGAUAAAGAUUUGUUCAAAAUUCAAAUUCUUAUUAUUAAAAAAAUUCUACAACAAAAUGAAAACAAUUUAUACAUAAUUUUCGGUACAUUAUUUUAUUCAUAGGUACGGAAGUAUCGGUACGAAUGUAUGGGUACAUAAUUUUAGGUACCUUAUUUUACUCAUAGGUACAGAAAUAUCGGUUCGUAAGUUUCGGUACGAAUAUAUCAGUACAAAUGUAUCGGUCUGUAACUAUAGUAUCUAAACAUACAUAUGUACAUAAUACGCAUAUAAAUGUAUAUAUAGAGAAAUUCACGCACAAUGAAAAAUAUAUGACUUUUCUUAUUAUGGGAACUUAAUAAAUAACAUUUUUAUUAUUUAUGGGAAUCAAUAUAUAAAAAUAAAAUAAAAAUUCAAUAAUUAUUACAACCUAUUUAAUAUUAAAAAAUUACAAUUAAAUGUUUUUAAUCUUAGACAAGGUUUUUAUUCAAAAAGUAAUCUUAGACAAGGAUUAGAAUAGAAUUUUCCAUUUUUUUUACACAAUCCAUGAAGUGGGCUAAUUUUUUCUUACAUGCUAUCCAAAUUAAUGUUCCACGCUUAAGUCAAUUUUUUUUCUCUCUCUUGAUAUCUAAAAUAUUAAGAUGUUCUAUUAAAAAGUUUUUAUGUAAUAUCUGUAUGUCAUUUGUUAAUUUGCAUGUUAUCAAUUUAGCAUCCACAUUGUAAGUAUAAGUUAGACCAUCUAAAUAAUACCACGUAAAAAGCCAAAGAUGAACUUGAGGAGACAAUGGUAACAAGGUUAGUAAUAACUUUAACACUUGUUUUUGCCAACUUUGGAACACAGUGACUAACCGAUAACCUAUAGUUUAAAAUUUGAAUUGUAACUAUUAGUCAAUUAUCAUUUGCACUUUUGUGGUUCAGGACAUCUAAUAACUUAUACUUUAAUACUUGAAUUGUAACUAUUAGUCAAUUACCAUUUACACUUUUGUGAUUCAAGACAUCCAAUAACAUUUAUAUCUAAUCGUCGGGCAAGUUAGCAUUGACCCAACGUGGCCCGACGAACAGCUAUUAGCCGACGAAAAUAUUUCCUUGAGCAAAACUUAAAUUUUUUAUUAAAAAAAUCAAGGAAGUGUUAUUGGCACUUCAAAAUUUCAUUCCACACUUCUCGUAAGUGUAUUUUUUUUCCUAAUAUAGAAAGUUUAAAAUGUAGAAUGAGAUUUUUGGAAUACUCAUAACAAUUCCCAAAAAUAAAACCUUAAUAUUUCCCGACGAAGUUUUUGUCUGGCAAGCUUUAUAAUUAAACAAAAUCUAAAAUUUAAAAUCUUAACCCGACGAACGGAACAAGGAUAAAAGUUAUAAAAAAAAUUAAAAUCUUUUUCCCACAUUAGAUCUGUCGUCCGGCAAGAUUUAUUUAAUU